AUUGAAACACCGGUUUCUGUAGGACCACCAAAGUUAAGCAACGUCGAGCCUGGUCAGUAUCUAGAUGUGUGAUAGCUUGGGAAUGCCGGGUGCUGUAAG